rnacentral:misc_RNA from 1 species
GAUGAAGAACGCAGCGAAAUGCGAUAAGUAAUGUGAAUUGCAGAAUUCAGUGAAUCAUCGAAUCUUUGAACGCACAUUGCGCCCCUUGGUAUUCCGGGGGGCAUGCCUGUUCGAGCGUCAUUUCAACCCUCAAGCUCUGCUUGGUAUUGGGCACCGUCCUUUGCGGGCGCGCCUCAAAGACCUCGGCGGUGGCGUCUUGCCUCAAGCGUAGUAGAAUACACCUCGCUUCGGAGCGUAAGGCGUCGCCCGCCGGACGAACCUUCUGAACUUUUCUCAAGGUUGACCUCGGAUCAGGUAGGGAUACCCGCUGAACUUAAGCAUAUCAAAAGCGGAGGA